AUCGAAAUAGCAAAAACUGCAUAAAAAUCUUAUUUUAUUAUUAUUUUAUUCCCAACCUACUAAUAUUGAAAAUGCAAUAAUUAAUUAUAAAAGUGCUAGAAAACAAGCUUUUCAAGUGUGGAAAUGACCUAAAAUAACUACUACAUUUGAUGUCAGGUCAAAUACCCCCACAUUUAAGUCUUUUAUCCUCAAGCAAGCAAAACAAAAACAAAAGUAAAAUAAAAGAAACUAGAAAACAAAACAACUAAAAAUAAGAAAUAAAC
rnacentral:lncRNA from 1 species